rnacentral:rRNA from 1 species
AAAAGCUUUCUUUAAUUGAAUAAUUGAAUUUAAUUUUUUAGUGCAAAAGCAAAAAUAAAAAUUAGGGACAAGAAGACCCUAUGAAUUUUUUUAUUAAAUUUUAUAAAACUUUAUAUAAAAUUUAAUUUAAUUGGGGUGAUGGAAAAAGAAUAAAUAUCUUUUUUUUUAAAAAAAUUGGUUCCGUUUUUAGCGAUUAAAUGAAAAAAAUACUCUAGGGAUAACAGCGUAAUAAUUUUGGAUAGUUCAUAUAGAUGAAAUAGUUUGCGACCUCGAUGUUGGAUUAGGAUUCUUUUUUGGUGAAGAAGUUAAAAAAAGAAGUUUGUUCAACUUAUAAUUUCCUACUUGAUCUGAGUUCAGACCGG